rnacentral:rRNA from 1 species
UACAGAGGGUGCAAGCGUUGUUCGGAAUUAUUGGGCGUAAAGGGCGCGUAGGCGGUGCUAUAAGUCUGUGGUGAAAUCUCUGGGCUCAACUCAGAGUCUGCCAUAGAAACUGUAGUGCUAGAGUGUGGGAGAGGUGAGUGGAAUUCCCGGUGUAGCGGUGAAAUGCGUAGAGAUCCGGAGGAACACCAAAGGCGAAGGCAGUGUCCUGGGGAGUGCCUGACGCUCAGGUGCGAAAGCCAGGGGAGCGAACGGG